AGGACGAACGCUGGCGGCGUGCUUAACACAUGCAAGUCGAGCGGAAAGGCCCUUCGGGGUACUCGAGCGGCGAACGGGUGAGUAACACGUGAGCAACCUGCCCUUAGCUCCGGGAUAGCUCCGGGAAACCGGAAUUAAUACCGGAUAUGACCUAGGCCGACAUCGGCUGUGGUGGAAAGUUUUUCGGCUGGGGAUGGACUCGCGGCCUAUCAGCUUGUUGGUGGGGUAAUGGCCUACCAAGGCGACGACGGGUAGCCGGCCUGAGAGGGCGACCGGCCACACUGGGACUGAGACACGGCCCAGACUCCUACGGGAGGCAGCAGUGGGGAAUCUUGCGCAAUGGGCGAAAGCCUGACGCAGCGACGCCGCGUGGGGAUGAAGGCCUUCGGGUUGUAAACCCCUUUCAGCAGGGACGAAGCGAAAGUGACGGUACCUGCAGAAGAAGCGCCGGCUAACUACGUGCCAGCACGCCGC
rnacentral:rRNA from 1 species